AGAGUUUGAUCCUGGCUCAGAUUGAACGCUGGCGGCAUGCCUUACACAUGCAAGUCGAACGGCAGCAUGAUCUAGCUUGCUAGAUUGAUGGCGAGUGGCGAACGGGUGAGUAAUACAUCGGAACGUGCCCUGUAGUGGGGGAUAACUAGUCGAAAGAUUAGCUAAUACCGCAUACGACCUGAGGGUGAAAGUGGGGGACCGCAAGGCCUCAUGCUAUAGGAGCGGCCGAUGUCUGAUUAGCUAGUUGGUGAGGUAAAGGCUCACCAAGGCGACGAUCAGUAGCUGGUCUGAGAGGACGAUCAGCCACACUGGGACUGAGACACGGCCCAGACUCCUACGGGAGGCAGCAGUGGGGAAUUUUGGACAAUGGGCGAAAGCCUGAUCCAGCAAUGCCGCGUGUGUGAAGAAGGCCUUCGGGUUGUAAAGCACUUUUGUCCGGAAAGAAAUGGCUCUGGUUAAUACCUGGGGUCGAUGACGGUACCGGAAGAAUAAGGACCGGCUAACUACGUGCCAGCAGCCGCGGUAAU
rnacentral:rRNA from 1 species